rnacentral:tRNA from 1 species
AUGCGAGAUCGUGCACGGCGCACUAGGAGCUUCUAACCCUCCGACUCGCGGGUUCGACUCCCGCAUCUCGCACCC